rnacentral:rRNA from 1 species
GAUGAACGCUGGCGGCGUGCCUAAUACAUGCAAGUCGAGCGAACAGACGAGGAGCUUGCUCCUUUGACGUUAGCGGCGGACGGGUGAGUAACACGUGGGUAACCUACCUAUAAGACUGGGAUAACUUCGGGAAACCGGAGCUAAUACCGGAUAAUAUUUCGAACCGCAUGGUUCGAUAGUGAAAGAUGGCUUUGCUAUCACUUAUAGAUGGACCUGCGCCGUAUUAGCUAGUUGGUAAGGUAACGGCUUACCAAGGCAACGAUACGUAGCCGACCUGAGAGGGUGAUCGGCCACACUGGAACUGAGACACGGUCCAGACUCCUACGGGAGGCCGCAGUAGGGAAUCUUCCGCAAUGGGCGAAAGCCUGACGGAGCAACGCCGCGUGAGUGAUGAAGGUCUUCGGAUCGUAAAACUCUGUUAUUAGGGAAGAACAAACGUGUAAGUAACUGUGCACGUCUUGACGGUACCUAAUCAGAAAGCCACGGCUAACUACGUG